GAUGAACGCUGGCGGCGUGCCUAAUACAUGCAAGUCGAGCGAACAGACGAGGAGCUUGCUCCUCUGACGUUAGCGGCGGACGGGUGAGUAACACGUGGAUAACCUACCUAUAAGACUGGGAUAACUUCGGGAAACCGGAGCUAAUACCGGAUAAUAUAUUGAACCGCAUGGUUCAAUAGUGAAAGACGGUUUUGCUGUCACUUAUAGAUGGAUCCGCGCCGCAUUAGCUAGUUGGUAAGGUAACGGCUUACCAAGGCAACGAUGCGUAGCCGACCUGAGAGGGUGAUCGGCCACACUGGAACUGAGACACGGUCCAGACUCCUACGGGAGGCAGCAGUAGGGAAUCUUCCGCAAUGGGCGAAAGCCUGACGGAGCAACGCCACGUGAGUGAUGAAGGUCUUCGGAUCGUAAAACUCUGUUAUUAGGGAAGAACAAAUGUGUAAGUAACUAUGCACGUCUUGACGGUACCUAAUCAGAAAGCCACGGCUAACUACGUG
rnacentral:rRNA from 1 species